rnacentral:rRNA from 1 species
UACGUAGGGACCGAGCGUUGUCCGGAUUCAUUGGGCGUAAAGAGCUCGUAGGCGGCCACUCAAGUCGAAUGUGAAACCUCGAGGCUUAACCUCGAGCCUGCAUUCGAUACUGCCGUGCUUGAGGACUGGAGAGGAGACUGGAAUUCACGGUGUAGCAGUGAAAUGCGUAGAUAUCGUGAGGAAGACCAGUGGCGAAGGCGGGUCUCUGGACAGUUCCUGACGCUGAGGCACGAAGGCCAGGGGAGCAAACGGG